rnacentral:rRNA from 1 species
UACGUAGGGUGCGAGCGUUGUCCGGAAUUACUGGGCGUAAAGAGUUCGUAGGCGGUUUGUCGCGUCGUUCGUGAAAACUUGGGGCUUAACUCCAAGCGUGCGGGCGAUACGGGCAGACUUGAGUACUACAGGGGAGACUGGAAUUCCUGGUGUAGCGGUGAAAUGCGCAGAUAUCAGGAGGAACACCGGUGGCGAAGGCAGUGUCCUGGGGAGUACCUGACGCUCGAGGUGCGAAAGCCAGGGGAGCGAACGGG